AUUGAACGCUGGCGGCAUGCCUUACACAUGCAAGUCGAACGGCAGCACGGGAGCAAUCCUGGUGGCGAGUGGCGAACGGGUGAGUAAUGUAUCGGAACGUGCCCAGUCGUGGGGGAUAACGCAGCGAAAGCUGCGCUAAUACCGCAUACGAUCUAUGGAUGAAAGCGGGGGACCGUAAGGCCUCGCGCGAUUGGAGCGGCCGAUGUCAGAUUAGGUAGUUGGUGGGGUAAAGGCUCACCAAGCCAACGAUCUGUAGCUGGUCUGAGAGGACGACCAGCCACACUGGGACUGAGACACGGCCCAGACUCCUACGGGAGGCAGCAGUGGGGAAUUUUGGACAAUGGGCGCAAGCCUGAUCCAGCAAUGCCGCGUGCAGGAAGAAGGCCUUCGGGUUGUAAACUGCUUUUGUACGGAACGAAAAGGCUCUGGUUAAUACCUGGGGCUCAUGACGGUACCGUAAGAAUAAGCACCGGCUAACUACGUGCCAGCCGCCGCAGUAAAAC
rnacentral:rRNA from 1 species